GUUGGAAGGUGGCGCUGAAGGGAGGAGAGGUUAAGAGAUGGCUGGAAAACAGCUUGUAUUUCCCUCUCUGUAAUCAGGGCUUGGCAUGAGGAGUUACUCAGGGGUCUGCCCUGAGGUGAAGGCGUGGUGGGACCUGGUGCUCCCUGUGGCUCUUUUCCACCACCCCUGCCAGCAGAGGCACUGGCUGCUUCACAUCACCCCAGGUCCUGUAGAGCUGCUGCCCCAGUGUAUGACUGGAAGAAAAAUUCUGCUCAUUUAAAGGACCAUAGAGUUAUGCUUUAAAGGUUUCAGAUGACAGACUGCAACUGCAUAGUGUGGUCAUUCUUUUGGCUCAUUGUCCUGGUGUUUCUUGGCUGGCCCAUAAGCAUACUCAUGUGUGCACUUCAUGGAUUCCUUUCUCCUCUGGCUACUUUAAUAGGACUAGAUGAAUUAAGUGAAGCAUUGCUGAAGGGUGCAUGUCUGGGGAGGCAGUGUGCUCAGAAUGUGCGCAAUGGCAAGUCCCCAUGUUAAGCAAUGAGGACAGCCCUGCAUCAGACAAGCACUCAACUGUAUAAAAUGGAAUUUCAUUGUUUACUCUAUUAAUCUCAUAUUUUUUAACUCCAAAUAUUUUUUCUUAGUAUUUCAGUGUGUACAUUUCUCUUUAGAGUGUCUAGAAACCUUAACACUUCAGAGGCUUGUCUCUGAGAAUAUAAAAUACAAGUUGCAGCUAUUGUUUUCAAAAUGGGUAAUGAUGCUGUGUACAUGGAGAAGGUAGCUAAGUGCUUAUCUCAGGAUUUGAGCUUAGUGUCAAAAUCUAUUUAAAUGGAAGAUGAUGGAAUGCACCUAAUGGGUGCGACUAAGACACCCAAGAAGAAUAGAUUCUGAAUUGGAAAUUUAUUUUUGUGAAUGUUUUAAUCUCCAGUGUACAUUGCUCAAUAGUAAGAGAAGUAAAAUUCUGAUCUGAGGUCUUUGGAGUGUGCGUGUUUUCAUAUAUAUGUUUCGGUGCCUUUUUAGUUUAUUUCCUUUGCAAUAGACUUUAGAAAUAUUUUGUUUUAUGAUGUUAUUUUGUAUUAAUUUCUUGUGA